CGCCAACCAGCUAGCCCAUCCUAACAAAAACAACAACUCAAUAUUAAUAACCCCAAAUACACUACCCCUACCCUUAAACAAAACAUUCUUCCUCCUUAGUACGGGCGACGGAAAAGGAAUCACCGGAGCAAUAGAGAAAGUACCGCAAGGGAAUGCUGAAAGAGAAAUGAAAUAACCCAGUAAAGCCUAAAAAAGCAGAGAUUCUACCUCGUACCUUUUGCAUCAUGAUUUAGCUAGAAUCAUCCAAGCAAAGAGCACUUUAGUUUGGAUCCCCGAAACUACGUGAGCUACUCCAAGACAGCCUAUUUAUAGGGCAAACCCGUCUCUGUGGCAAAAGAGUGGGAAGAGCUUCGAGUAGGGGUGACAGACCUAUCGAACCUAGUUAUAGCUGGUUGCCUGAGAAAUGAAUAGGAGUUCAGCCUCCUAGCUUCUCCCUUCACCACGAUUUCACCUAUCGAUAUUAAAGAAGCUAAGAGAGUUAGUCAAAGGGGGUACAGCCCCUUUGAAACAAGAUACAACUUUCCCAGGAGGGUAAAGAUCAUAAUUACUAAAGGUAAAAAUGCCCCGGUGGGCCUAAAAGCAGCCACCCCUAUAGAAAGCGUUAAAGCUCAAGCAUUGACCCCCACCCAUAUAUUCAGAUAAUAUAAUCCUAACCCCCUAAAUAUUAACAGGCUACCUCAUGCAAACAUGAGAGUAUUAAUGCUAAUAUGAGUAAUAAGAGGGACUCGCCUCUCUCCUUGCACACGUGUAUGUCGGAACGAACCCCCACCGAAAUUUAACGGCCCCAAACAAAGAGGGUAAUGAAUAUGAAAAUAAAAAACCAGAAAACCAUCCAAUAAUUUACCGUUAACCCCAUCACUGGUGUGUCCCCAGGGAAAGACAGUAAGGAGAGAGAAGGAACUCGGCGAAAUACGAUGUGAGCCUCACAUGUUUACCAAAAUCAUCGCCUCAUGAUAAAGCUAACAUAUAAGAGGUCCCGCGUGUCCUGUGACGAUAAGUUCAACGGCCGCGGUAUCCUGACCGUGCGAAGGUAGCGCAAUCACUUGUCUUUUAAAUGGAGACUUGUAUGAAUGGCAUAACGAGGGAUCGACUGUCUCCUCUCCUCAGUCAAUGAAAUUGAUCCUCCCGUGCAGAAGCGGGAAUACACACAUAAGACGAGAAGACCAUAAGGAGCUAUGGACACUAAAGCAGAUCAUGUCAAAACCCCAUCAACAAGGAACAAAACUAAUUGAGCUCUGCCCUAAUGUCUUCGGUUGGGGCGACCGCGAGGCACAAAAAACCCCCGCGUGGAUCAAGGACACCUACUUUGUCCUCCAGCCUCCUUUCAGCCCAGAGAGUCCGCUCUCACAAACAGAAAUUCUGACCUACAAGAUCUGGCAAAGCCGAUCAACGGACCAAGUUACCCUAGGGAUAACAGCGCAAUCCCCUUUUAGAGACCAUAUCGACAAGGGGGGUUACGACCUCGAUGUUGGAUCAGGACAUCCUAAUGGUGCAGCCGCUAUUAAGGGUUCGUUUGUUCAACGAUUAAAGUCAUACGUGAUAUGAGUUCAGACCGGAGCAAUCCAGGUCAGUUUCUAUUUAUGAAAUGAUCUUUUCUAGUACGAAAGGACCGAAAAGAAGAGGCCUAUGCUUAAGGUACGCCUUACCCCUCCUAAUGAAAACAACUAAAUUAGGCAAAAGGGAAUACCUUUCCCAGCCAAAAAUAAUGGCGU
rnacentral:rRNA from 1 species